AGGGCACAGCUACUCAGGUCUACUCGCUGUGUGAGAACCGAAAGCGCAAGUCAGGCUCACUGCACCUGCAUAUGGGGAAGCCAGAAAAACCUGUUCCAAACUUCUGAGACAUGACCUGUCCUAACACUGAAGGAUCAUAAAAAAUUUGCUUUCACCAAGAAGUUCAGAAACUUUAACAUGGCUGAUGUGAUAAAGUGUUGGGUCUUUCUCUGAAGCUCAAGAAGGAAGGAGAAUUUGAGGAAGGCUGAACUCAGAGAAGAGAGGUGAUAAAAUAGAGAGAAAGGUCUCUGGAGAGAUCAGCUACACCGUAGCCAGCUGGGACCUGUGGAGGACGAAGAUCAUUAUGAUAUUCCCUGCAGCAGGAAGCAGCAAAUGAACUGUCAGGCCAGUGAGGUCUGACACCCAAUUAUAAGUUGUCAAAUAUAUACACAGCGUCUUUCCAUCAUACCUACAUUUGUUAACGUUAUUUUUAUUUACCUUCUGUUUUGUGUCCAGCACUGAUAUUGUGCUAAAUCCUUCAGACAAAGUUUGGUGCUUUCAUGACCUGACUAUGUGUUUGCAGUAAGUGUUUGGAGAAAUGAGGGAG
rnacentral:lncRNA from 10 species